UACGUAGGGCGCAAGCGUUAUCCGGAAUUAUUGGGCGUAAAGAGCUCGUAGGCGGUUUGUCGCGUCUGCCGUGAAAGUCCCGGGGCCUCAACUCCGGAUCUGCGGUGGGUACGGGCAGACUAGAGUGAUGUAGGGGAGACUGGAAUUCCUGGUGUAGCGGUGAAAUGCGCAGAUAUCAGGAGGAACACCGAUGGCGAAGGCAGGUCUCUGGGCAUUAACUGACGCUGAGGAGCGAAAGCAUGGGGAGCGAACAGG
rnacentral:rRNA from 1 species